rnacentral:tRNA from 1 species
GAGGGUAAAGCUCAGUGGUACAGUAAGUGCUUAUCAGGCACGAAGUCCUGGAUUCAAUUCCCAGUAACUCCA